ACGGUCUCAAGGCACUGACUCACAGCGUCCUUCCAGCUCUGGAAAGCAUCAUCACGUUUGACCAGACGUUUGAUUCGCUCAAGGAGAUAAAGGACCUGUAUGACCAUGGAUUUGAUAUAUCCGAGCUUGUCACCUCACCAGUAAGGGGGAUGCAAACGCCACUCGAGUUCUUCAACGAGUUCACCGCAGACACCGGGAACACCAGCUACAUGAAGUACCCACUUCCGCAAAUCUUAAAAGGUAAUGCUCUUCAAAUGCAAACUCGAAAAACAAUGCAUCUAACAUCAGGCAACUACAGUGAAUGAGAAGGGAUGGAUGACGGACGAAGAAUUUGCAAGACAAAUGCUGUGUGGAGUGAAUCCUAUGAUGAUUCAAUGUCUAAAGGUAAGUUCAUGAUACUCACAGCCAUUAGCCAACUCUUGAGUUCAGGAAUUUCCACCCAUGAGCACUCUGGAUCCUGAAAAAUACGGACCAUCAAAGUCAGCUAUCACCGAGGAACACAUUGGCAGUCAGCUAGAAGGCUCAACCGUACAACAGGUUCGUUUUUUUCUUACGUACGAGUUCUAAGUUGACUCUCUAACCACGCAAAUGCAAAUGCAGGCAGUGAGUGACAAGAAACUGUUUAUUCUCAGUUAUCACGAUGAGUUCAUGCCUUACCUUGACAAGAUCAACUCCCAGAGAUCUUCUUACGCUUACGCAUCCCGAGUUCUCCUGUUUUUGAAGUCGGAUGGAACUCUCCGGCCUGUAGCCAUCGAGCUCAGCACACCGUAUUCUCAGAGAGUCUUCGUCCCACCGGCAGCUGGAACAACCGAUUGGCUCUGGGAGCUCGCGAAAGCACACGCCGCCACGAACGAUUCUGGAUAUCACCAGCUUGUCAGUCACUGGUAAGCCAAACAUUUAGAGAAGAAACAAACAAACAAACCUCUCGUAUCUGUUGUGAAGGCUAAGGACACAUGCUUGCAUCGAGCCGUUCAUCAUCGCGACCCACAGGCAGCUGAGCAAGCUUCAUCCUCUAAACCCGUUUCUGCAGCCACACUUCAAGCACACCAUGUCAAUCAACUCGCAAGCGCGGCAAAGCCUCAUCAAUGCAGCUGGAAUCAUCGAGCUAACUUUCACUCCAGGAAAAUACUGCAUGGAGAUGAGCGCCGUGGUUUACAAAGGCUGGAGAUUCGACGAGCAAGGCCUACCAGCAGAUCUCAUCAAAAGGUAACACAAACAAAACAAAACAAAUGCUGGCACUGACACCACUCAUUAAAACUCGGUUCCAGAGGGAUGGCUGUCCCAGACUCCACAGCAAAGCACGGACUCAAGCUUGCGAUCGAGGACUAUCCAUAUGCCGCAGAUGGUCUCGAAAUCUGGGACGCUCUGGAAAAAUGGACGUCCAGUUAUCUCGACGCUUGCUACAACGACGACGAAGCAGUAGCAAGCGAUGCAGAGCUCCAGGCCUGGUGGAACGAAGUAAUCAAGAAAGGCCAUGCAGACAAGAAGGACGAGCCAUGGUGGAUCAAGCUGGACAGCAAGAAAAACCUGGCUCUAGCGCUCACCACUAUAAUCUGGGUAGCGUCGGCCCAUCACGCAGCCGUGAACUUUGGCCAGUAUGCAUACGCUGGCUACAUGCCCAACCAUCCCACCGCCACUCACAAGGCAAUCCCGGCUGAGAACUCGGACGAACACAAGAAGCUGCUGGCAAACCCUGAGAAAUUCUUCCUCGAGUCGGUCUCGAGGAAGCUGGAAGCGAUCCUCGUCAUGCUCACGCUCGAGAUCCUAUCCACUCACGCGUCGGACGAGGAGUACCUGGGGCAGCGUGCCAUCGCGAACUGGACGGAUAAUCCCAAGGCCAAGGCCGCCUUCCAGAAUUUCACCGCCGCGAUGAAGAAUGUGGA
rnacentral:lncRNA from 1 species